UUCCAGCUGACGAGUCCCAAAUAGGACGAAAUGCGCAUCCUGGAU
rfam:Schistosoma mansoni strain Puerto Rico chromosome 6, complete genome